rnacentral:rRNA from 1 species
GAUGAACGCUGGCGGCGUGCCUAAUACAUGCAAGUCGAGCGAACAGACGAGGAGCUUGCUCCUCUGACGUUAGCGGCGGACGGGUGAGUAACACGUGGAUAACCUACCUAUAAGACUGGGAUAACUUCGGGAAACCGGAGCUAAUACCGGAUAAUAUAUUGAACCGCAUGGUUCGAUAGUGAAAGACGGUUUUGCUGUCACUUAUAGAUGGAUACGCGCCGCAUUAGCUAGUUGGUAAGGUAACGGCUUACCAAGGCAACGAUGCGUAGCCGACCUGAGAGGGUGAUCGGCCACUGUGGAACUGAGACGCGGUCCAGACUCCGACGGGAGGCAGCAGUAGGGAAUCUUCCGCAAUGGGCGAAAGCCUGAAGGAGAAACGCGGCGUGAGUGAUGAAGGGCUUCGGAUCGUAAAACUCUGUUAUUAGGGAAGAACAAAGGUGUAAGUAACUAUGCACGUCUUGACGGUACCUAAUCAGAAAGCCACGGCUACCUACUU